rnacentral:rRNA from 1 species
GGAUCCAGACUUUGAUUAUGGCUCAGGAUGAACGCUAGCUACAGGCUUAACACAUGCAAGUCGAGGGGAAACGAUAGAGAAAGCUUGCUUUUUCUAGGCGUCGACCGGCGCACGGGUGAGUAACGCGUAUCCAACCUGCCCACCACUUGGGGAUAACCUUGCGAAAGUAAGACUAAUACCCAAUGAUAUCUCAAGAAGACAUCUGAAAGAGAUUAAAGAUUUAUCGGUGAUGGAUGGGGAUGCGUCUGAUUAGCUUGUUGGCGGGGUAACGGCCCACCAAGGCGACGAUCAGUAGGGGUUCUGAGAGGAAGGUCCCCCACAUUGGAACUGAGACACGGUCCAAACUCCUACGGGAGGCAGCAGUGAGGAAUAUUGGUCAAUGGGCGAGAGCCUGAACCAGCCAAGUAGCGUGCAGGAUGACGGCCCUAUGGGUUGUAAACUGCUUUUAUAAGGGAAUAAAGUGAGCCUCGUGAGGCUUUUUGCAUGUACCUUAUGAAUAAGGACCGGCUAGUUCCGUGCCAGCAGCCGCGGUAAUACGGAAGGUCCGGGCGUUAUCCGGAUUUAUUGGGUUUAAAGGGAGCGUAGGCCGGAGAUUAAGCGUGUUGUGAAAUGUAGAUGCUCAACAUCUGCACUGCAGCGCGAACUGGUUUCCUUGAGUACGCACAAAGUGGGCGGAAUUCGUGGUGUAGCGGUGAAAUGCUUAGAUAUCACGAAGAACUCCGAUUGCGAAGGCAGCUCACUGGAGCGCAACUGACGCUGAAGCUCGAAAGUGCGGGUAUCGAACAGGAUUAGAUACCCUGGUAGUCCGCACGGUAAACGAUGGAUGCCCGCUGUUGGUCUGAAUAGGUCAGCGGCCAAGCGAAAGCAUUAAGCAUCCCACCUGGGGAGUACGCCGGCAACGGUGCAACUCAAAUGAAUUGACGG